rnacentral:tRNA from 1 species
UUAAUAGAAGCCAAAAUAGAGGCCUUUCAUUGUUAAUGAAAAAAAUGAUACAAAAUCCUAUUAAA